CAGCCGCCGCGGGAAUACGUAGGUGGCAAGCGUUGUCCGGAAUUAUUGGGCGUAAAGGGCUCGCAGGCGGCUUCUUAAGUCUGAUGUGAAAGCCCCCCGGCUCAACCGGAGAGGGUCAUUGGAAACUGGGAAACUUGAGUGCAGAAGAGGAGAGUGGAAUUCCACGUGUAGCGGUGAAAUGCGUAGAGAUGUGGAGGAACACCAGUGGCGAAGGCGACUCUCUGGUCUGUAACUGACGCUGAGGAGCGAAAGCGUGGGGAGCGAACAGGAUUAGAUACCCGAGUAGUCCCUGUCUCUUAUA
rnacentral:rRNA from 1 species